CCGCGCAUUCUCCGCAUCGGCACUUAAUAUAUUUUCAUUUUAAACAAGUGCCGCCCUCACCCCCCAUCGACACUAAUUUAUCAAUUUUUUUAACCCCAAUCUAUGAAUCCUGUUUACUUCUCCGAAUGAAAAAUAAAAAAAACGAAAACUGAUUUGUUCGAAUGAAAUUGGAGGCAGACAGGGAGCUAAUCUCUGUUUUCUUCUUUCCAAUCUACAAUUUCGUGGAGCUGGAGACAGCUAGGGGCAGAGGCGCGACCAAAUCGGAGGACAAGAACCUUAUCAAUGGUGUCUCUGAUUAUGGAAUGAACCUCUAAUUUCUUAGACAAACGUAGCAGAGGUGAUAAUAUAGCUCGUCAAGUGAAAUAAAGCAUGGAAAACUAGAAGUCUCUGAUGUGGCUGAAAGUUCAUUUUCAGAUUUAAAAAAGAAGAAGAAGAAACAUGUUGAAAUUAGUAACUUAAAUGAUGAGGGUGGACAUGCAAUUGAAGAUUUGGAUGAUCACAAUGAAGAAGAUGAAGAAGAUGAUGUUUCCUUGCAGCACCGUUAUCGUUGGCUGACAGUGAUAAGCUUGGGGAUUCUGAUUCUCCUAUUUUACGAUCAAGUGAAGAGGAAAUGGAACAUUCACUACUUGGGACGUGUUCUGGAUUCAUACUGGAGAGUUCCUCAUAUUCCUUCCCCUCCUACAGCUUGGAGACAAUGUUUUAUAACUUGGAGACAAUGUUUUUUUAUUUGUUAGGUUGCAAUGAUGCUAAGUGCUCCCCUCUUACAGAGAAGUUUAAAAGGCUUUCCAGUUAAGUUUGGUCUUGUAGCAUUGUGUUUUUAAAA